rnacentral:rRNA from 1 species
UGAGUAACGCGUGAGGAACCUGCCCUUCAGAGGGGGACAACAGUUGGAAACGACUGCUAAUACCGCAUAAUACAUUUGAAUCGCAUGGUUUGAAUGUCAAAGAUUUAUCGCUGAAGGAUGGCCUCGCGUCUGAUUAGCUAGUUGGUGGGGUAACGGCCCACCAAGGCGACGAUCAGUAGCCGGACUGAGAGGUUGGCCGGCCACAUUGGGACUGAGAUACGGCCCAGACUCCUACGGAAGGCAGCAG